rnacentral:rRNA from 1 species
CAGUAGCCGCGGUAAUACGAAGGGGGCAAGCGUUGUCCGGAAUUAUUGGGCGUAAAGGGCUCGCAGGCGGUUUCUUAAGUCUGAUGUGAAAGCCCCCGGCUCAACCGGGGAGGGUCAUUGGAAACUGGGAAACUUGAGUGCAGAAGAGGAGAGUGGAAUUCCACGUGUAGCGGUGAAAUGCGUAGAGAUGUGGAGGAACACCAGUGGCGAAGGCGACUCUCUGGUCUGUAACUGACGCUGAGGAGCGAAAGCGUGGGGAGCGAACAGGAUUAGAUACCCCCGUAGUCCCUGUCUCUUAUAC